UGGAAGCCUUACUCCUGCCUCCUGAG
rnacentral:piRNA from 1 species